rnacentral:rRNA from 1 species
GAUGAACGCUGGCGGCGUGCCUAAUACGUGCAAGUCGAGCGAACAGACGAGAGUGCUUGCCCUCUCUGACGUUAGCGGCGGACGGGUGAGUAACACGUGGGUAACCUACCUAUAAGACUGGGAUAACUUCGGGAAACCGGAGCUAAUACCGGAUAAUAUUUAGCUUCGCAUGAAGCAAUAGUGAAAGACGGUUCUGCUGUCACUUAUAGAUGGACCCGCGGUGUAUUAGCUAGUUGGUGAGGUAACGGCUCACCAAGGCAACGAUACAUAGCCGACCUGAGAGGGUGAUCGGCCACACUGGGACUGAGACACGGCCCAGACUCCUACGGGAGGCAGCAGUAGGGAAUCUUCCGCAAUGGACGAAAGUCUGACGGAGCAAUGCCGCGUGAGUGAAGAAGGUUUUCGGAUCGUAAAACUCUGUUGUAAGGGAAGAACAAGUACGUUAGUAACUGAACGUACCUUGACGGUACCUUACCAGAAAGCCACGGCUAACUACGUG